CUUAAGGGGAGCUCGACCUCGUCAAUCGAUUUCCCACUCGAGUCCCCACUUGAGUCAAGUUCCACCUCGUUCUAUGUGUCUAGAUUUACUCCCCAAGCCUCUCCAACUACUUGAGUCAAUGAAGCCUACAUCUGGUGGUCUAUCAAUAAUUCAAUCUGUCAACGUUCAAGAGGAUCCAGUGAGGGAAUUAACACCUACAAUGAA
rnacentral:lncRNA from 1 species